UACGGAGGGUGCAAGCGUUAAUCGGAAUUACUGGGCGUAAAGCGCACGCAGGUGGCUGAGUCAGUCGAUUGUGAAAGCCCUGGGCUUAACCUGGGAAUUGCAGUCGAUACUACUCAGCUAGAGUAUGGGAGAGGGUAGUGGAAUUCCCGGUGUAGCGGUGGAAUGCGCAGAUAUCAGGAGGAACACCGAUGGCGAAGGCAGAUCUCUGGGCCGUAACUGACGCUGAGGAGCGAAAGCAUGGGGAGCGAACAGG
rnacentral:rRNA from 1 species